rnacentral:lncRNA from 1 species
CUUCUCGUCUGUCGCCAUGUGAGAUGUACCUUUCACUUUCCUCCAUGAUUGUGAGGCCUCCUUAGCCACAUGGAACUGCCCUGGCAAUCACUAUUCCAGUCUCUGCUUCUAUGAGUUUGACUAUUUCAGAUUCCACAUGAAAUGCUGGAGUCCUUCAUCCGAAUGAAUGGCAAGGAUUGAAGACCGAAAAAAAUCAAGCGUUGAGGAGAGUGACAAAUGGGGAGACAGCCGUGGUGCAUGAUCGCCGAAUAAAUACCAUGUGAGGAUACAGCAAGAAGGUGGCCAUCUACAAGCCAAGGAGACAGGCCUCAGAAGAAACCAACCCUUCUUACACCCUGGACUCAGACUUCUAAUCUCCAGAACUUGUUAAUGCACAAGGUCUUGUGUUGAAAAUGUAGAGCCACGAGAUAAAAGCAGCUUGGAUGGCUGACUCAUAUACAAGGACAACUGCCUGAGAGUCACCAGGGCUAUCAAGAAGUUUGCAGAAACAAGAAAUAAACUUUUACUGUUUUAAACUUUUGUGAAUUUUGGGUUUUGUUUAUCACCAAAUAAACCUAGUCUAU